rnacentral:rRNA from 1 species
GAAACCUACGGGGGGCAGCAGUGGGGAAUAUUGCACAAUGGGGGAAACCCUGAUGCAGCGACGCCGCGUGAGUGAAGAAGUAUUUCGGUAUGUAAAGCUCUAUCAGCAGGGAAGAAGAAAGACGGUACCUGACUAAGAAGCCCCGGCUAACUACGUGCCAGCAGCCGCGGUAAUACGUAGGGGGCAAGCGUUAUCCGGAUUUACUGGGUGUAAAGGGAGCGUAGACGGAGAAGCAAGUCUGAAGUGAAAGCCCGUGGCUUAGCCACGGGACUGCUUU